rnacentral:rRNA from 1 species
GACGAACGCUGGCGGCGUGCCUAAUACAUGCAAGUUGAGCGCUGAAGGUUGGUCCUUGUACCAACUGGAUGAGCAGCGAACGGGUGAGUAACGCGUGGGGAAUCUGCCUUUGAGCGGGGGACAACAUUUGGAAACGAAUGCUAAUACCGCAUAAAAACUUUAAACACAAGUUUUAAGUUUGAAAGAUGCAAUUGCAUCACUCAAAGAUGAUCCCGCGUUGUAUUAGCUAGUUGGUGAGGUAAAGGCUCACCAAGGCGAUGAUACAUAGCCGACCUGAGAGGGUGAUCGGCCACAUUGGGACUGAGACACGGCCCAAACCCCUACGGGAGGCAGCAGUAGGGAAUCUUCGGCAAUGGACGAAAGUCUGACCGAGCAACGCCGCGUGAGUGAAGAAGGUUUUCGGAUCGUAAAACUCUGUUGGUAGAGAAGAACGUUGGUGAGAGUGGAAAGCUCAUCAAGUGACGGUAACUACCCAGAAAGGGACGGCUAACUACGUG